rnacentral:lncRNA from 1 species
CCCAGAUGCCGAUUCGUGAAGGAAGCCUCCCGUGACCUCUCCCACUCUGUGUUUGCACCACUGCCCAAUACUCUUAUGUCAUCCUUUUCCCUUCCUGCUGGCUUGCCUGGAUUUGCAGUAAUUUGUCUACAUGUGGGUCUCCCAUGUAGCUCCCACCUUACCAUCCUAGUGUCUUGCAUGUGGCACCAUGCAGUGAGCCUCAUGCCCGGCAAGUGCUGAGUAAUGUUUGGUGAGUGCCUGGUGGCCCUUUCUCCACUGGCAUCUGGGCAGAGUUCAGCCUUUAGCAAAAGGCCAGCUCCUGGGAGGCACCCUGUGUGAACUCUGCCCAGAUCACUGUGUUGGUGGGUGCGGGACUGGUGCAUACCGAUGGCCUCCAGGAUGAGCAUGUAGGCGGCUGUGGUCUCCCGGUCCAGGCCCACCACGGUUCUCACAACGGCAUCGCGGUAACCCACGCUGAACUUCCCAUCCACGUUGCCACCUGUGGGUGAAGGAGAGGAAGCUUCCGGCUGGGAAACAGAGCUCCCGGCCAGGGGAAGCGGGGACUCUGCUCCUGAGCUGGGACCCGCGAUGGUGGGGAAACUGAGGCACACAUCCGUGUAAGAAGAGGAGCCAGGCUUUAAGAAUGAGAGCACCCACGUAGGCAUCCUUCUGGAAGGUGGGCACGUUGUCGUUGACAUCCA